AGGGAAUUUUCGUCAAUGGGGGGAACCCUGAACGAGCAAUGCCGCGUGAGUGAGGAAGGUCUUCGGAUCGUAAAGCUCUGUUGUAAGAGAAAAACGGCACUCAUAGGGAAUGAUGAGUGAGUGAUGGUAUCUUACCAGAAAGUCACGGCUAACUACGUGCCAGCAGCCGCGGUAAUACGUAGGUGGCGAGCGUUAUCCGGAAUGAUUGGGCGUAAAGGGUGCGUAGGUGGCAGAUCAAGUCUGGAGUAAAAGGUAUGGGCUCAACCCGUACUUGCUCUGGAAACUGAUCAGCUAGAGAACAGAAGAGGACGGCGGAACUCCAUGUGUAGCGGUAAAAUGCGUAGAUAUAUGGAAGAACACCGGUGGCGAAGGCGGCCGUCUGGUCUGGAUUCUGACACUGAAGCACGAAAGCGUGGGGAGCAAAUAGGAUUAGAUACCCUAGUAGUCCACGCCGUAACCGAUGAGAACUAGGUGUUGGGGGAAUAACUCAGUGCCGCAGUUAACGCAAUAAGUUCUCCGCCUGGGGAGUAUGCACGCAAGUGUGAAACUCAAAGGAAUUGACGGGGGCCCGCACAAGCGGUGGAGUAUGUGGUUUAAUUCGAAGCAACGCGAAGAACCUUACCAGGCCUUGACAUCCCUUGCAGAGGUAUAGAGAUAUAUCCGAGGUUAUCAAGGAGACAGGUGGUGCAUGGUUGUCGUCAGCUCGUGUCGUGAGAUGUUGGGUUAAGUCCCGCAACGAGCGCAACCCUUGUGAUAUGUUACUAACAUUGAGUUGAGGACUCAUAUCAGACUGCCGGUGAUAAACCGGAGGAAGGUGGGGAUGACGUCAAAUCAUCAUGCCCCUUAUGGCCUGGGCUACACACGUACUACAAUGGCGUCUACAAAGAGCGGCAAGCCUGUGAAGGCAAGCGAAUCUCAUAAAGGACGUCUCAGUUCGGAUUGAAGUCUGCAACCCGACUCCAUGAAGCUGGAAUCGCUAGUAAUCGCGAAUCAGCAUGUCGCGGUGAAUACGUUCUCG
rnacentral:rRNA from 1 species